GAAGCCCUUCGGGGCAGGGAGACAGGUGGUGCAUGGUUGUCGUCAGCUCGUGUCGUGAGAUGUUAGGUUAAGUCCUGCAACGAGCGCAACCCCUUAUCAUUAGUUGCUACCAUUAAGUUGAGCACUCUAGUGAGACUGCCCGGGUUAACCGGGAGGAAGGUGGGGAUGACGUCAAAUCAUCAUGCCCCUUAUGUCCAGGGCUACACACGUGCUACAAUGGUGGGUACAGAGAGAUGCAAGACCGCGAGGUGGAGCAAAACUCAAAAACCCAUCCCAGUUCGGAUUGUAGGCUGCAACUCGCCUACAUGAAGCCGGAGUUGCUAGUAAUCGCGAAUCAGAAUGUCGCGGUGAAUACGUUCCCGGGCCUUGUACACACCGCCCGUCACACCAUGAGAGCUGGCAACACCCGAAGUCCGUGAGGUAACCUGUAAAGGAGCCAGCGGCCGAAGGUGGGGUUAGUGAUUGGGGUGAAGUCGUAACAAGGUAGCCGUAGGAGAACCUGCGGCU
rnacentral:rRNA from 1 species